rnacentral:rRNA from 1 species
GAUGAACGCUGACAGAAUGCUUAACACAUGCAAGUCGAUGGGGAAGUGGUGCUUGCCCCAUGGCAACCAUGGCGGACGGGUGAGUAACGCGUAAGGGACUUACCUGCAGGACUGGGAUAACAGGGGGAAACUCCUGACAAGACCGGAUAAUGUCAUGGAGCUGCAUGGCUUUAUAAUGAAAGGAGACGCCUGCGGAGAGCCUUGCGUCCUAUUAGCUAGUUGGUGAGGUAAUGGCUCACCAAGGCGAAGAUAGGUAGCCGGCCUGAGAGGGUGGACGGCCACAAGGGGACUGAGAUACGGCCCUUACUCCUACGGGAGGCAGCAGUGGGGAAUAUUGGACAAUGGGGGCAACCCUGAUCCAGCAAUUCUGUGUGCACGAAGAAGGUUUUCGGAGUGUAAAGUGCUUUCAGCAGGGAAGAAGUAAGUGACGGUACCUGCAGAAGAAGCGACGGCUAAAUACGUG